GUCUUCGUAGCUCAGUUGGAUAGAGCAAUUGCCUCCUAAGCAAUAGGUCGGCAGUUCGAAUCUGCCCGGGGACACCA
rnacentral:tRNA from 1 species